UAGUCCACGCCGUAAACGAUGAUCACUCGAUGUUGGCGAUACACAGUCAGCGUCCAAGCGAAAGUGUUAAGUGAUCCACCUGGGGAGUACGAUCGCAAGGUUGAAACUCAAAGGAAUUGACGGGGGCCCGCACAAGCGGAGGAGCAUGUGGUUUAAUUCGAUGAUACGCGAGGAACCUUACCUGGGCUUAAAUGUAGAUUGCAUAGGUUGGAAACAAUCUUUUCUUCGGACUAUUUACAAGGUGCUGCAUGGUUGUCGUCAGCUCGUGCCGUGAGGUGUCGGGUUAAGUCCCAUAACGAGCGCAACCCCUAUUCUUAGUUGCCAGCACAUCAUGGUGGGGACUCUAGGAAAACUGCCGGCGCAAGCCGCGAGGAAGGUGGGGAUGACGUCAAAUCAGCACGGCCCUUACGUCCAGGGCUACGACACGUGCUACAAUGGUCGAUACAAAGGGCAGCUACCUGGUGACAGGAUGCUAAUCUCGAAAAUCGGUCUCAGUUCGGA
rnacentral:rRNA from 1 species